GGAAUCGUCCCGCUGCGCGGUGCUCGGUGACGCGGCAGGGCUAUAAAAGCACAAAGGUUGUGGCCUGUCCGGCAGGAGACCAAGGGGUGUGAACUCGCCCGGGGAGGAGAUGAGGCCUGGUCUGGUGGAAAUUGAAGUUAGCUUCGCGGGGCUGACGGCUCAGGCCCAGGGUGGUAUGUAAUUGGGGCUCGGCCCGGGAGAGGGCCCGGCCAGGCCCCGGCUGGCAGAGCCCAGACCCUGGUCGGCAGUGAGGGUGGCGUAAGGAGUGAGUGACGGAGGAGGUAAGGUGCCACCCUCAGGUUACUGGUGCGGCGCCUCACGUGUCGGAAGCGGGGCUGCUGAGCAGGGGCAGGUGUGUGCGGACAACACUGACCCCCGCUUUAUCUUCCAGGUGGCAGUGCUCCCCUUUGGACUUUUCCUCUAGGUUCGGUGCUAGCCUCUCCUGUGAGCUCACUGCCCCUCCUCCUCCCUUUAACUCUCUCGAGGUUAUCCCUUCACUUAAGCCUUGCUUCUGGUAACCUGGUAAGCCCGGGAAGGCGCUCACGUCCCUGUUGGAGUCGGUAUUGCUGGUAACCUUGACGGAGAGGCUCGGGGUGGGGCGGGUUGGCGUUGCUGGCCGGUGAGAGGGUGGGAUUGAAUGGGCACCCUUUUCUGGGCCCGCAGCGAUGGUACCGGCUGAAAGUCACCAAAGGGCCUCAUGGACCGUGGUUUGUUACCAUAGUGUUCGUCACCGCGACCAGAUGGCACCAGCAGACAUGGAGCCCUGGCCAGUGUGAGGCGUAGCAGAGCAGCAGGGAGACCCUGGAGGAGAGAGCGCGCCUAAAUUGAUGGCUGCAGAUUGAAUUUCCAGAGUCUUGGGAGGAGGAAGUUCUCCAGUGGCGUGGUUCCAGGGCUCGCUCAGGAAGCCCUGUGUGCAGGAGCCCAUCCUUUAAGGUUUUCAGAUGAGCUUCUGAGGGGGGCAAUCUUAAAGUCCGAGUCAGAUGCAUCCGGGCCACCAGCAGAUGUGUUUAUUUGAAUGUUGAUCUUGGAGCACCAACCUCCGGGCACGUGAAUGCCAGCAGGCACCCCUCCUUUUUUGGGGGUGGAGGUUUUCAGAUGCUGCAUCUUCUAUA